rnacentral:rRNA from 1 species
CUACCCUUGACAUGUCUGGNAUGCUUAAGAGAUUAGGCAGUGCUCGCAAGAGAACCGGAACACAGGUGCUGCNUGGCUGUCGUCAGCUCGUGUCGUGAGAUGUUGGGUUAAGUCCCGCAACGAGCGCAACCCUUGUCAUUAGUUGCUACGAAAGGGCACUCUAAUGAGACUGCCGGUGACAAACCGGAGGAAGGUGGGGAUGACGUCAAGUCCUCAUGGCCCUUAUGGGUAGGGCUUCACACGUCAUACAAUGGUCGGGACAGAGGGUCGCCAACCCGCGAGGGGGAGCCAAUCCCAGAAACCCGAUCGUAGUCCGGAUCGCAGUCUGCAACUCGACUGCGUGAAGUCGGAAUCGCUAGUAAUCGCGGAUCAGAAUGUCGCGGUGAAUACGUUCCCGGGUCUUGUACACACCGCCCGUCACACCAUGGGAGUGGGUUUUACCAGAAGUAGUUAGCCUAACCGCAAGGAGGGCGAUUACCACGGUAGGAUUCAUGACUGGGGUG